rnacentral:rRNA from 1 species
UAGCUAGUUGGUGGGGUAAGGGCCUACCAAGGCGACGAUCGUUAGCUGGUCUGAGAGGAUGGCCAGCCACACUGGAACUGAGACACGGUCCAGACUCCUACGGGAGGCAGCAGUGGGGAAUAUUGGACAAUGGGGGCAACCCUGAUCCAGCAAUGCCGCGUGUGUGAAGAAGGCCUGAGGGUUGUAAAGCACUUUCAGUGGGGAGGAGGGUUAUUAGGUUAAGAGCUAGAUAACUGGACGUUACCCACAGAAGAAGCACCGGCUAACUCCGUGCCAGCAGCCGCGGUAAUACGGAGGGUGCGAGCGUUAAUCGGAAUUACUGGGCGUAAAGAGUGCGUAGGUGGUUGUAUAAGUUAUCUGUGAAAUCCCUGGGCUCAACCUGGGCAGGUCAGAUAAUACUGUAUAACUCGAGUAUGGGAGAGGGUAGUGGAAUUUCCGGUGUAGCGGUGAAAUGCGUAGAGAUCGGAAGGAACACCAGUGGCGAAGGCGGCUACCUGGCCUAAUACUGACACUGAGGCACGAAAGCGUGGGGAGCAAACAGGAUUAGAUACCCUGGUAGUCCACGCUGUAAACGAUGUCAACUAGCUGUUGGAUAUAUGAAUAUAUUUAGUGGCGC